rnacentral:rRNA from 1 species
CCUACGGGUGGCAGCAGUGAGGAAUAUUGGACAAUGGACGAGAGUCUGAACCAGCCAAGUAGCGUGAAGGAUGACUGCCCUAUGGGUUUUAACCUUCUUUUAUAUGGGAAUAAGAUGUUUCACGUGUGGGAUUUUGUAUGUACCAUAUGAAUAAGGAUCGGCUAACUCCGUGCCAGCAGCCGCGGUAAUCCGGAGGAUCGGACGGUUAUCCGGAUUUAUUGGGGUUAAAGGGAACGUAGGCGGAGUUUUAAGUCAGCGGUAAAAUGUCCUGGCUAAACCCGGGCCGGCCGUUGAAACUGGGGAUCUUGAGUGGGCGAGAAGUAUGCGGAAUGCGUGGUGUAGCGGUGAAAUGCAUAGAUAUCACGCAGAACUCCGAUUGCGAAGGCAGCAUACCGGCGCCCGACUGACGCUGAGGCACGAAAGCGUGGGGAUCGAACAGGAUUAGAUACCCGGGUAGUC